rnacentral:rRNA from 1 species
UUUAUGGAGAGUUUGAUCCUGGCUCAGGAUGAACGCUGGCGGCGUGCCUAAUACAUGCAAGUCGAGCGAACGGACGAGAAGCUUGCUUCUCUGAUGUUAGCGGCGGACGGGUGAGUAACACGUGGAUAACCUACCUAUAAGACUGGGAUAACUUCGGGAAACCGGAGCUAAUACCGGAUAAUAUUUUGAACCGCAUGGUUCAAAAGUGAAAGACGGUCUUGCUGUCACUUAUAGAUGGAUCCGCGCUGCAUUAGCUAGUUGGUAAGGUAACGGCUUACCAAGGCAACGAUGCAUAGCCGACCUGAGAGGGUGAUCGGCCACACUGGAACUGAGACACGGUCCAGACUCCUACGGGAGGCAGCAGUAGGGAAUCUUCCGCAAUGGGCGAAAGCCUGACGGAGCAACGCCGCGUGAGUGAUGAAGGUCUUCGGAUCGUAAAACUCUGUUAUUAGGGAAGAACAUAUGUGUAAGUAACUGUGCACAUCUUGACGGUACCUAAUCAGAAAGCCACGGCUAACUACGUGCCAGCAGCCGCGGUAAUACGUAGGUGGCAAGCGUUAUCCGGAAUUAUUGGGCGUAAAGCGCGCGUAGGCGGUUUUAAGUCUGAUGUGAAAGCCCACGGCUCAACCGUGGAGGGUCAUUGGAAACUGGAAAACUUGAGUGCAGAAGAGGAAAGUGGAAUUCCAUGUGUAGCGGUGAAAUGCGCAGAGAUAUGGAGGAACACCAGUGGCGAAGGCGACUUUCUGGUCUGUAACUGACGCUGAUGUGCGAAAGCGUGGGGAUCAAACAGGAUUAGAUACCCUGGUAGUCCACGCCGUAAACGAUGAGUGCUAAGUGUUAGGGGUUUCCGCCCUUAGUGCUGCAGCUAACGCAUUAAGCACUCCGCCUGGGGAGUACGACCGCAAGGUUGAAACUCAAAGGAAUUGACGGGGACCCGCACAAGCGGUGGAGCAUGUGGUUUAAUUCGAAGCAACGCGAAGAACCUUACAAAUCUUGACAUCCUUUGACAACUCUAGAGAUAGAGCCUUCGGGGACAAAGUGACAGGUGGUGCAUGGUUGUCGUCAGCUCGUGUCGUGAGAUGUUGGGUUAAGUCCCGCAACGAGCGCAACCCUUAAGCUUAGUUGCCAUCAUUAAGUUGGGCACUCUAAGUUGACUGCCGGUGACAAACCGGAGGAAGGUGGGGAUGACGUCAAAUCAUCAUGCCCCUUAUGAUUUGGGCUACACACGUGCUACAAUGGACAAUACAAAGGGCAGCGAAACCGCGAGGUCAAGCAAAUCCCAUAAAGUUGUUCUCAGUUCGGAUUGUAGUCUGCAACUCGACUACAUGAAGCUGGAAUCGCUAGUAAUCGUAGAUCAGCAUGCUACGGUGAAUACGUUCCCGGGUCUUGUACACACCGCCCGUCACACCACGAGAGUUUGUAACACCCGAAGCCGGUGGAGUAACCUUUUAGGAGCUAGCCGUCGAAGGUGGGACAAAUGAUUGGGGUGAAGUCGUAACAAGGUAGCCGUAUCGGAAGGUGCGGCUGGAUCACCUCCUUUCU